rnacentral:tRNA from 2 species
GGUGCGAUACCCAAGUCUGGCCCAAGGGGCUGGCCUGCUAAGUCAGUAUGCAACGCAUGCGGGGGUUCGAAUCCCCCUCGCACCACCA